AUUGAACGCUGGCGGCAGGCCUAACACAUGCAAGUCGAGCGGAUGAAGGGAGCUUGCUCCUGGAUUCAGCGGCGGACGGGUGAGUAAUGCCUAGGAAUCUGCCUGGUAGUGGGGGAUAACGUCCGGAAACGGGCGCUAAUACCGCAUACGUCCUGAGGGAGAAAGUGGGGGAUCUUCGGACCUCACGCUAUCAGAUGAGCCUAGGUCGGAUUAGCUAGUUGGUGGGGUAAAGGCCUACCAAGGCGCCGAUCCGUAACUGGUCUGAGAGGAUGAUCAGUCACACUGGAACUGAGACACGGUCCAGACUCCUAAGGGAGGCAGCAGUGGGGAAUAUUGGACAAUGGGCGAAAGCCUGAUCCAGCCAUGCCGCGUGUGUGAAGAAGGUCUUCGGAUUGUAAAGCACUUUAAGUUGGGAGGAAGGGCAGUAAGUUAAUACCUUGCUGUUUUGACGUUACCAACAGAAUAAGCACCGGCUAACUUCGUG
rnacentral:rRNA from 1 species